rnacentral:rRNA from 1 species
GACGAACGCUGGCGGCGUGCUUAACACAUGCAAGUCGAACGGUGAAGGGGCCUGCUUUUGUGGGCCCUGGAUGAGUGGCGAACGGGUGAGUAACACGUGAGUAACCUGCCCCCUUCUUCUGGAUAACCGCAUGAAAGUGUGGCUAAUACGGGAUAUUCUGGGUCUGUCGCAUGAUGGGUCUGGGAAAGAUUGCGCCUUUGGGUGUUUUUGGUGGGGGAUGGGCUCGCGGCCUAUCAGCUUGGUGGUGGGGUGAUGGCCUACCAAGGCGGUGACGGGUAGCCGGGCUGAGAGGGUGGACGGUCACACUGGGACUGAGACACGGCCCAGACUCCGACGGGAGGCAGCAGUGGGGAAUAUUGCACAAUGGGCGCAAGCCUGAUGCAGCGACGCCGCGUGAGGGAUGGAGGCCUUCGGGUUGUAAACCUCUUUCGCAAGUGAAGCAGGCCUGCUCCUUGUGGGUGGGUUGACGGUAGCUGGAUAAGAAGCGCCGGCUAACUACGUG